AUCCCGGUGCUGCCCACCCACCACACCGCUAGCGCCUCUGAACCUCGCCAGGCACGUCCGGUUCUGCGGCCCCCACUCCGCCCCCGCCUGCCAGGAGCCGCGCAGUUACAAAGUGCCGGGAGCCGUGCAAGGCCAGUGAACCCCUCGCUGAGACUCAGUUUGCUGCCAUCACAAGUGCUCCGAGAAUCCUGGAGAGGGAGGAUAUAUUGGAGACAAACGGGACUGCUGCCCGCCUUUUAGGUGACCGUCGGAGGCUGCUCUGAGCCGGGCACAGGCAGGGAGGUGGAGGCCAGAUACAAGUAAACCACAGUACCAGUAAAUGACAAAGGCUGGAUCUUAACCCAAGUCCUCCGACUCUGAAGGCCAUACCCAACAGGUCCCAUUUUAUUUGUUUUACUUUUUUUAAAUUGAAGAAGAAAAAAACUAGCAUUCCCCUACAGUGCCCCCCACCUGGUGGGGACAUCUUGGGUUGGCAAGGCCACCACUUUCAAGAGUAGAAGUGUUUUUCAGCAGGAGGAGUUGGCUGCACCAAAGGAGCUCA
rnacentral:lncRNA from 1 species